rnacentral:lncRNA from 1 species
UGGGCAGGCGUGCAUAUGGGUGGGUCAGGUGGACAGGUGUGCGUAUGAGUGUGCGUAUGGGCGAGUCAGGUGGGCAGACGUGCAUAUGGGUGUGCAUAUGGGUGAUUCAGGUGGACAGGCGUGCGUAUGGGCGGCUCACGUGGACAGGCGUGCGUGUCAGCGUGUCACGUGGACAGGCGUGUGUGUGGGCGGGUCAGGUGGGCAGGCGUGUGUAUGGGCGGGUCAGGUGGGCAGGCGUGCGUAUGGGCGGGUCAGGUGGGCAGGCAUGCCUAUGGGUGUGCGUAUGGGCGAGACAGGUGGGCAGGCGUGCCUAUGGGUGAGUCAGGUGGGCAGGCGUGUGUAUGGGUGUGCAUAUGGGCGAGUCAGGUGGACAGGCAUGCGUAUGGGUGGGUCAGGUGGACAGACGUGCGUAUGGGUGAGUCAGGUGGGCAGACGUGCGUAUGGGUGGGUCAGGUGGGCAGGCGUGCGUAUGGGUGAGUCAGGUGGACAGGUGUGCGUAUGGGUGAGUCAGGUGGACAGGCGUGCGUAUGGCUGUGCGUUUGGGCGAGUCAGGUGGGCAGACGUGCGUAUGGGCAGUCAGGUGGACAGGCGUGUGUAUGGGUGAGUCAGGUGGACCACUGUGUGUACGGGCGAGUCAGGUGGACCGGCGUGCAUAUGGGCAGGUCAGGUGGGUAGGCGUGUGUAUGGAUGUGCAUAUGGGCGGGUCAGGUGGACAGGUGUGUAUAUGGGUGUACAUGUGUGCACAGGUGCUACUUUACUCUGUGUUCAACACGUGUUCGUGGACGUGCUCCAGGCCCAAGGCGAAGGAAUAGGAUGUAGCAGGGGCAGGGUCUCCGCCCCAUACUCAGAGUCCUUGGGCUCCGGGAAGACACAACCGAUAAGUGGUUACGGGGAUGCCUGGGAGCUACGGGCACACACAGACCCUCCUGGGCCCAGCAUAAGGGCCAGGGAAGACUUCCUGGAGUCCAAGUGGAAGCUGCAGGGGAGGACCUCAAGAUGGCUGUCUCCCCCUUUAGAGAUGCUGUGUCCCAGCAAAGGGGCACCUAGAACAGGAAUUCUCAACCUCCCAGGACAACGGGUGGCCGCUGAGAACCCGGGAGACCUGGGGCAAGCGUCUCAGGCUUUCCUCAGCUGCUCCACCUGGAAACCGGGACGGGCAGGACCGCCUCUCGAGGCUGCUGUGAGC